UACGUAGGGUGCAAGCGUUAAUCGGAAUUACUGGGCGUAAAGCGUGCGCAGGCGGUUUUGUAAGUCAGAUGUGAAAGCCCCGGGCUCAACCUGGGAAUUGCAUUUGAAACUGGGGAACUAGAGUGUGUGAGAGGGGGGUAGAAUUCCAAGUGUAGCGGUGAAAUGCGUAGAGAUUUGGAGGAAUACCAGUGGCGAAGGCGGCCCCCUGGCACAACACUGACGCUCAGGUGCGAAAGCGUGGGGAGCAAACAGG
rnacentral:rRNA from 1 species